rnacentral:lncRNA from 10 species
GCACAGGAAAUGAGGUGAUCAUUUACUAUGUUAAUUAAUUAAACACGAAGAUUAAAUACUUGUAAUGGAUAAUAUUGAAUGUCAACUUGAUUGGAUUGAAGGAUGCAAAGUAUCCUUCCUGGUCUGUGAGGGUGUUGCCAAAGGAGAUCAACAUUUGAGUCAGUGGACUGGGAGGGGCAGAUCCAUCCUCAAUCUGGGUGGGUGCCAUCUAAUCAUCUGCCAGCACAGCUAGAAUAAAGCAGGCAAGAGAGGAUGGAAGACCAGACUUGCGGAGUCUUCUGGCCUUCAUCUUUCUCCUGUGUUGGAUGCUUCCUACCAUCGAACAUCGGACUCCAAGUUCUUCAGCUUUUGGACUCUUGGACUUAAACUAGUGAUUUGCCAGGGGUUCUUGGGCCUUUGGCCACAGACUGAAGGCUGCACUAUCAGCUUCCCUACUUUUAAGGUUUUUGGACUUGACUGGCUUCCUUGCUCCUCAGCUUGCAGAUGACCUAUCGUAGGAUUUCACCUUGUCAUCAUGGGAUACAUGUGUAAGUUUGUUACGUGGAUAUAUUGUGUGAUGCUGAGGCUUGGAGUACCAAAUUGAUCCUGUCACCCAGGAAGUGAGCAUAGUACCCAAUAGGUCG